GCUGCACUGGCUAUGUUCUGCGCUGAGAAGAGGAUACCAGCUUGCUUUGCCAGGCUGACUAAUGUGGUGAAUAUUAAAACUCACAUGGAAGUUCUCCUUUGGGUGAAUGAUCUGAGAGUGUUGGAAAUUCUUCACACACGUCCAYAACAUCCACAGCUUCACAGACAGACACAGUGUGAAGAGACACAGGAACCCAUGGAGAUUCGGUGAGAAUUUAAGCAGAACAUAUUGAGGGCUGCACUGACAACUGUGGAUUCGAAGUAGAUGAAAAAUGAGUGCUGGAGCAGCAAUGGUGCUAUGGAGUCAGAAGGGAUCUCUGAAGUGACUAGCACGGGAACAGCUAUAAGGGCUCAACCUGCCCCUCCCUUUCUCCCCAGUCCCCAGCUCUACUUCUGUAUGCAAGGUUUUACUGUUCACAGCAUCUGGUUGCUGUUGAUACCAAUUUGAGCAAUUCUCUAAAGCAAAUGACAAAGCAAAUCUCAUGUACCUUGAAUGAAGAAUGUUGAAUUGCUCCACUUUCUGAAAAUGCACCCCUUCUUUAUGCCUAUUUGUCUUUUAAAUAGUUCUGGCACAAGAUAGAUCAGAAAGAAUUUUUUUUUUCUUGAUGUCUGGCAUGUUAGCAUCAUACACAUGCAAUCUAAACUUUUCCUAUAGCUUUGCAGGAUCCUAUGCAUUUCUUUCACACAGAGUGUGGGCUAUACAAUUUGGAGCCUUCUGGUCAACUGAGGGCCUUGGUCUGGGUGGACACAAAUCCACUGAUGUCACUGAAAUGGUGGUGUCUAUAACAGCAGACAUGAAUGUGCUAGUCUGCCUAAGAAAAUAUCUACAGAGCUACAGGAAAGAGAAGAAGGACAGUAAGAGGAAGCACAUUAUUUUCUUUGURGGUAUCUAGAGACAAAUAUAUCUGGCAGUUAUGGUGUUGAAUUCAAAAUUGUUUUACCCAGCACAGAAAAGGCAGGAGGAGGAAGAGCACACUUAUACUCUUAACACUGAAUUUCUCUUCCACAGUUCUACCAGCAUCAGAAUGUCACAUGAUAUUCAAGUUAACACUACUGCAUCAAUUAGCAAAUGUAUGCGACUGACUUCUCUGUGUCAUCUUUUAGGCCUCAACAAUAUCAGAAAAUUAAACAAAAGAUCCUGGAACCCAAGCAGGUUGUGGUACAUCCAUUAUUUCAGAGUCUGUUAAAUAUUUGGAUUAUAUGGCUCAAUUUGCCAUUUUGUUGGGAAAUGCAUCCAGUUUGUGUGACAUUCAUAAUCACUGAGUAAAAGGAGCUAGAGAAAAACAAGAUCAAGUAAGACCUUGAACUGCCUCCUCAGCAAAAAUAYCAAACAAAUUCUGAUUACAAAAUUUUGUAAUGGAUAAUGUUUUCUUAUUUGGUAAUUAAAAGAGUAUAGAAUAAGUUGAGAUGGGCUCUUAAACAAGAAGCAAAGCUCACAAAACUGGCAACAAAAAUUCACAAAUUAUUCCUGUGAUGUGGCCUCUACAGCACCGAGUAAUACUUUUCUUUCCAAACAAUUACUUUAAUAACCUGUAAUAUCAUAACUCCUUACUACCCUUAAGGGAGGAGGAGAAAAGGCAGGAAAGAACAGUUUCCUUUCCAAGAUACCUUCCUGAGUUUGCAGAAUGGAUGAUUUGAGAAAAUAACAGCUUAUUUAUACUCCAUAAUUAACCCAACUAUCUUAGCACUCAGGACAUUGCUAAGUAUUUUACAGAGAUCCAAAGAGAUAUGACCCUGACCCAAAGAAAAUAGUCUCUGUGAAAUGAGGCUCUUUAAUUUACCAAAAUAAAUAAAAACCUUGCAAAAAUAACUUUCAGAAUUACUUUUUUUUCUGUCUGAAAUCAAUUAAAACACUAAU